AGCGUAGGUGGAUAUUUAAGUGGGAUGUGAAAUACUCGGGCUUAACCUGGGUGCUGCAUUCCAAACUGGAUAUCUAGAGUGCAGGAGAGGAAAGUAGAAUUCCUAGUGUAGCGGUGAAAUGCGUAGAGAUUAGGAAGAAUACCAGUGGCGAAGGCGACUUUCUGGACUGUAACUGACACUGAGGCUCGAAAGCGUGGGGAGCAAACA
rnacentral:rRNA from 2 species